GGGUUCAUACUACUUUUUAGACAUUUGCAGUAGAACUCCCCAAGAGCUGUGAAAAUAAAAUUGUUACCCUUUAAAUUUUGAAUACCAAAUCUAUUUAGCAGUUUGAUUGUAGGUACUUCAGAAGCCUACCUCAUUUGAUCUAGGUUACUCUCACAUAGUGUUUACUAAUUAUUGUCCUUUUCAUAAAUUUUCUUCUUAAAAAUCUUAUUAUGGUAAGGAUAAUGUAUUUGUUCCCUUCAGAUGUCUGCCACUGCAGCUGACGUUGAGACAACUCUGUCUUCCUGCAAGUCCUCGCCUGAUACUGCCUGCUUCAGGUGCAACAGGGCAAGUCACAAUUAAGGGUUGGAUGAUCACCUUUGAGGGCCGUGUAAUCUCUGAGGGCAUCACACCAACAUUUGCAACUGGACUUGCUGUUAUGUUUGCAAUCUACUACAUAUUCAACCUUCAGUAUCAAGAUGAGGCAGCCUGCACUUUGGAAUUUAUUCAGAGGCACUUCAUUGGUAUAAAUCCAGAGAGAGGGACAAAGGCGAAAAGGGGCAAGGUUGUCUCCAAGAAGAAAGGUGUGAUCGUCCAGAAGAAGUCUUCUGCAGUCAAUACACAUGUCGCCAUGCUACUGAAGAAUCUCCUUGAUUUUGAAUGGAACUUCAUAUAGAUCGUGGCAGCACUGGAAUAAUGCCGCAGAGAGGGAUAGUGGCUACCAAAGUGAUGGUCAUCUCUCCUGGAUCCACAAGAACUAAGAUGUAAAAACACAAGCCUACCUAACAGGACAAUUUUAAGAGGUAACCUGUAAGUCUAGCUUGCAGUGGCACAGGUGCCUACCUUAUAGUUUCAUCCCUAAAUGUUUUUAUUGAUGCAUAUUAUUGAUACAUCGUGUCAAAAUGUUCUAUAAAAGUUUCAAAAUGUUCUUCAGUAUGUUUUCAAAAUAUUGCCAAUUCUGCAUAUGUUCAAAUGUUAUUAUGAAAGUAUAUUUUUACAGACAGCAGAGAAUAUAUUGCAGAUUACAUAUAUAAAUCUUUUAAGUUGACUUUUGAGGAAAUAUUAAUCUAACUCACAGGAAUAUGUUGAGAGGAAAAACAUAUAUAUAUAAUUUUUUUCCCCCAAAAUGUGCCAAAGAUGCUUGCAUGCUGAAUGUUCUUACUCAUGUUAUAAAAAAGGUCUUAAUGUUCCUUAAAUAGUCUUAAUAGUGUAGCUUUCCAAAUAUUGCUAAUGUGUAUUUGUUGCCUUGGUCCUUUUCUUAUACCUAUUGUGUUAUUCAAGGUAAAGCUUAAAUUACUGUAAGAUAAAUCACUUCAAACUUAUGUCUUAAAUAAAAAAGUCAACUAAAGGUUAUGCCCUUCACAUAUGGUAAGGAUUAGGGUCAGUAUCUGACGGGCAAUUUAAGAAUGUACGUUUAUUACCAUAGUCUAAAGCAGACACUACUGGUUCUGUUUGUUACUAGAAAGCUCUUCUCAGCAUCAUCCAACAGGGUUUAUUUUCUUUUUUUUCCUUUCUUUUUUCAUGUUGACAUUGACAUUGCUCUUUAAAAUAAAGGUAUUUGAUUUUAAA